CUACUCCUUCCCUGCACAUGACUUCCCAUUGUCAUAGACUCAACCAAGUCAAGGACACACAAUAUCAAGUCAAGCAUUGCAGGAUCUUGCAAUGGCUAGAAGAUUAGAAAAAAGACCAUGAGAAAAAUACCUUUUUGUUGAGAAGAGUCAGCUAUGGUGGAGCAACAGAGAAAAAACACAGAGCAGAAGAUGGAGAAGAAAGAUUUUUUUUUUGAAGUGUUUUUUUGUUGCUGUGUGCAUGGAAUGUUUAAUAUUCUGUUUUUUGAGAGGUCCAACGGCUAUAUUUUUGUAAAAAGCUAACUUAAAUGGGUUUCCCUUUAUUUAAUUAUUGGUAAAUGGUAAAUGUAACUGUUUUUUUGUCGUUUAGUGGCUUUUAUUUAGUUUCCUUUUAAUUUAAAUGCAUUUUAACGGACGUUAGUGACGGAAAACAAAAAGCAGCGUUUUCCAUCCAUUUUGAGGGACCUAAAUGCUCCUUUUGAAACUUGAGGGACUAAACUGCUCCUUUUGGCAAAGUUUAGGGACCUUCAGACCUGUUUACUCGUAACUUUACUGUCAGGCGGCCUGACGCUCACGCGUCUGUCAGACCACAUGGUUUGCCCACGCGCGCGUGGGGUCACGCGCAAUAUAAAUAUAGUUUUUUUUCUUCGUUUUUCAUUCAAUUCGAGCCUGAAGCUCCCCUCCCCUCUCCUCUCUCCUGGUUCAUCUCGUUCAAAAUUACUCAAACCCCUGCCUCAGCUCUUUCCUCCUCAUGCGCGCUCCCCCUCUCUCUUCUCAAAUUCGUUGCCUUCCAUAGAAGAUUUUCCGCCGACCUCUCUUCCUCGCCGUUCAUUUGGAUUUUGAUUUUAAGAUUUUGAUUUAGGUUUAGGUUUUUGAUUUUAGGAUUUUGAUUUAGGUUUUUGAUUUUAGGAUUUUGAUUUAGGUUUUUGAUUUUGAUUAUUCACCUGCUGUCGUUGCCGCUGCCUGAGCUCCUCCCCUUCGACCGGAGAUCUUGCGGUGCAGGGGAACAGAGGCGGCGAUUCGCCUCUUUGCAACAACUGCGACCGGAGGUUGAAUAUUCGUUGUUUUAUGGCGGCUGGUGGUCAGCUUAUCGACGGCGCUGCCUGAUCCAUCAUGCUAUGGCGGUCGACAAAUUCACUGGUAAUAAUGUUUGUUGCAGCUGCCAGUGGGAAGUGCAUUAGACCCCUGAGCUGAGAAAUGGUUUGAGCCUCUUUCAAGGCUUGGUCAAUGUUAGUAUUGAUCCUACUAAUCCAGUUGCCAAUCUUACGGUUAUCUCAAAGGCCAGAACAAGUGACUUUUGGGACUUCUCUUCAUGACAACGUCGCUUUGUUUCUCAUAGGACAAAACAUCCAGCAUGUCCUCCACAUUGUAUAAAAUGCUGACUACAUUUCUAAGCCAUGAUUCAACUGUUUUGUCUGCAUCAUUCAUCAUUCAUCUUUUCCUUUUCUUUCUCCUUAACAAGUCCCCUCUUUUUAAGUAAUUAUUGAUUUAGUUUAGUAUGAUUAAAUUGGUUUUAGUUAACAGUAAUUUAUUUUUAGUUAUACUGUUGUUAUAUUUAGUUAUGAAAAAAUGUUUUAGUUA